ensembl:piRNA 21ur-13031 ncRNA
UUAUUCUCUUCAGAGAUGGCU